ensembl:lncRNA
UGACAUAACUUGGGUGGAUGUACAAGCAAAGAUAAAUAGGCAGCUUUUCACUGAAUUUUCAAGCAGAACAAGAAAUGUCAGUGAAAACGUGUGUUUCUAAUAUGCUCAAGGAAUUUCAACAAAGGAAGCUAAUACUGAUGAAUUAAUUUGCUGAAACUGCAACCAAGGGAGUUUGUUUGUUUGGUAUUCAAACUUAAAUGGAUCCUGUUUCCAAUAAACAGCAUGAAAGGGGAGCAUUUCCAGGGCACUGCCAUGCCAAAUGGAAGACGGCUUGUUCGCUGCCUGAUGAAAUUUGGGAUGAAAGACAGCAACCACAAUCCCUAAUCUCAUCUCAGAACUGCCAGAGGAGAACUGUAGAAACUACUCGGACUGCUGCAAAGUCUGGCCAGAAGGAUGGGCAAGAUGGUAAGACCAACCUAUACCUAUGUACUCUUCUGACCCUUAUUCCCUAGUCUUGGCUGUUGUUAGAUCUGUAAGUCGUCUGUUACACAGGCAGAUAAUGAUUGGAGGAGGGGGAACAGAGGAGGGCGUUACAUUAGGUGUUAGGAAGAAAUUCUCUACUCAGAGGAUAGUGGGGCACUGGAAAAGGUUGUCCAAACAAAUUGUGGGUACCCCAUUCCUGGGAGCGUUUAAGCCAGAUUGGAUGGGGCCAUGAGCAGCCUGAUCUGGUGGGUGGUGUCCCUCUAUGUGGCAGGGGUUUGGAACUACAUGGUGGUUAAGGUUCCUUCCACCCCAAACAAUUUUGUGUCCUAGUCCAGACAAGAUUCCAGGUAGCGUUCAUGCUGCCUUGCCUGGCCACUGAGCUUGGCACUUGGGCUAGGAGAGUGAUCUAUUUAUCAUCAACAAAGAGAAAGAGCAUUCCUCCUCAGGGCUGUUCAGACUGCCAAAGCAACGUUCCAGUUGAGGCAGAGUGCCUUUUUCUGUGUUUGUCUCCCUUGAUGAAAGACAGGGGGAGAUGAGCUUUCCCUCUAUGCAGGGCUUUUCUUCAUGACACCAACAGCUGUUCUUUAAGUGCCACAGAAGGCAUAAUUGAAAGAAGCCUGUACUAAUAGGUGGGUGAAAAGGGAAGGAAUGGAUGGUCUCAAUAUGAUCUUCCUUGGCCUCAAUCUGACAAAGAUUUAGGCAUAUGACUAAAUUUAUGCCAUUCAUUUCCUCUGUCAUUUGCAGUCAGUUUCCCCUCUCUGAUGCAUUAGUGUUUGGGGGAAGCAGAAUUCUCAUGUGAGCUAGCUGUUGUCAUAGUAAGACUUCCUUAGCUUUCCUGAGUCACACCAAUAAUUCCAGAGGUCCAUUUUUAAGUACUCUGACAUUGCACUUUCCAGGUAAGAAUUUUACACAGUUUUAGGGUUGUUUUGUCCCAUUUGAUUUACACAUCUAUCACUUGUCAUUAUAUAAUUAUGUUAUACUGCUGGUCUUCUAGCCCUGCAAUUUAUGAGAAAAAUAACUUGAAAAAAUAUGUGUCUACCAAAAGUCCUGCAUACACCAAAACAGUAUGGGUUUUUUUCCAGUUCUGAAGAGAAAUUGAGAAGAAAUACCAGACUUUCAGACUUGGCACUUUCUAUUUGAUAUGUGCAAUAUGUGAAUAUACCUAAAACAAAUCAACAGUAUCUUUUUUUUUUUUUUUUAAUGAGGAAUGUUCUAAAUAGUUUAUUCUGCUUUACUGUAUUUGAUUUAUUUCAAAGAGGAAAAAUUAAGUAAGAACUAGUGUACUGGCCUGCAAUAUAGAAACAGGAUAAACAUGGAAAUAAUUUGUAUAGAAAUAUAAGCAGGAAUGGCAGAGUGCCAGCAGCUGCUUGAAUAGAAAUCCUAAGGCAGCUAUAGCAGAAGUCUCUUUCCUUACAUUCUUUGCAUUGCAUAAAGCAGUCUGUGUAGUUUGAGAAGAUUUGUGCAUGUGUCUCGUUACCACUUCUCUCCAGAAUAUGACCAAACCUUUAUAGCUGGUUAGCUUUGAAUUAAAUAACAUCACUGGUGCUCUGUAAAAUCUUUUCUUGGUUGUUGUUUUUGGAUAACAGCUUUACAUGUGGACUGCACCUGUUUGAUACUUAUUUUAGCUUCUAGAUACAGGAGUCCCAUGGAAUGAAGGAGGGAGAUACAACGCUCAGAGGCUCCUAAAAAAUUUCAGGCCAGGCUGCCUGAAGAUAAUAUGCGUGAAAAGGUGGUGUGUUUGUUUGUUUGUUUUUCCAGUUCCAUUGGUUUUGAAACUGUAACACCUGGAGCACAGCACUUCUGAUCCAUGACAGAGUAUCCUAACUGCAAGGGAGUCAAUAAUUUGCUGAAACUGACAGAGAGAAUUACACACUGCCCUCUGUGUUUAUAAACAAAUAAAAAGAGGUGGGAGAAAGCUGAGUGUCUGAAG